GGGGGAUCUCAGAAACGAUACGUGAGGCAGAACUACCACGGGUCAUGAAACGUCUGCUUGUGACGAUACUGCCACCCACACAAGCCGACAACAUAAAUCCUGACUUUCUCUUCAAGAUCCCCAAACCACCGAAGGUGCCAACUGUGGCCACACGGAACAUCAUAGUAGCAUUCUGAAACAGAAUGGACAAAACAGCAGUCCUCGAUGCCCUGUGGGGAGAGACACCCCUACAAUUUGAAAACAUGGCGCUGAGCUUUUUUGCCAAUCUCUCCAGUGGCACCCUGGCAUGGCGACGAUCCCUUCAACCACUUACCACCCUUCUCCGCCAACAAGGCCUCAAAUACCGCUUGCGACCGCCCUACACACUAACCAUCCAGCAGGGACCUGAUCUGGGAACCGAGCGACGCAGCACUGCUCCUGCAAGCACUGGGUCAACCAAUGGACUCCCUCGAUCAGACAGGCCAGAAGAGCGCAACCUCCCCACAGCACAGGUGGGACCUGAC